rfam:Schistosoma haematobium scaffold1050_20, whole genome shotgun sequence.
AUCCAGUUGACGAGUUCCAAAUAGGACGAAAGGCGAGUUCUGGAU